GGCGCGGUGUGGCGUGGGGCGGGGCGUCAUGGCUUACGUUCUUUGCCGAGAUGCCGAGGUUCUGUCAAGAUGAGGAAACUGAGGCACAAGACAUAAACAACUUGCCCAAAGUCAUACUCGUAGGCCAGGAUUCUGACUCAGCUGGUCUGGCUCCAGGAAUGCACUCUACACUACACAGAGGAGAGAGAUUGUCGGGCUGGAAGACUUGAUGGAGAAGCCUUAGAGGUUGAGUAAUAUCUGUUUGGCAGAAUAGAGAAGCUUGAAUCUGAGUAAAUAUGGUCAAGAAGAUGGACUUUCUCACCACUCAGCUCCCAGGAGGGGAAGACUGCUGACAUCUCCCAUUUUCUCCAACUCCAUGUUGCAGGAACUCUAUUCAUAAAGUAUGGACAAAGGGUCUGGGCUCUUCUUUCUCCUAUGAACACCUACUCAUAAGGCAGAAGCUAUACUCUAUGUGUGGCUGUCCAAGAAUCCUGGGCGCCAAUUGACCUCACCCUAGCUCAUUCAUAGGAUGGAAGUUCCACAUUGGAUGAGGCAACAUCCUGCCAGUUCCUUGCAGCAAAGAGAGAAGGGGGUCACUAUGGCUGCCCCUAGAACCACAGCAGUGGUGCUGAGGUUCUGUGGGGGGGCGGGAGGCAGGCCAUAAGAAUAAAGGUUUCAGUAGCUCUUCCAAACAGGAUCAACUUUAUGUUAAACAGCAUGGAGGAGUUUGAACCUGAUGGUCACCAGCUAAUAGAAGGAAAUGGUAGAUCAUCUUAAACUAUACUACAGAGCAAUAGUAAGAAAAACAGCAUGUUAUUGGCACCAAACAGACUGGUAGACCAAUGGUACAGAAUAGAGGACAUAGAGACUAACUUACAAAACUACAAUUAUCUUAUAUUAGAUGAAGGUGCCAAAAACAUACAUUGGAGAAAAGAUAGCCUCUUCAACAAUUGGUGCUGGGAAAACUGGAAAUCCAUAUGCAACAAAAUGAAAUUAAACCCCUAUCUCUCACCAUGCACAAAACUCAACUCAAAGUGGAUCAAGGACCUAGGAAUUAAACCAGAGAUUCUGGGUCUAAUAGAAGAAAAAGUAGGCCCUAAUCUUUAGCAUGUGGGAUUAGGCCCCAACUUCUUUAAUAAGACUCCUAUAGCACAAGAAUUAAAAUCAAGAAACAAUAAAUGGGAUGGAUUCAAACUAAAAAGUUUCUUCUUAGCAAAAGAAACAAUCAGUGAGGUGAAUAGAGAGCCUACAUCUUGGGAGCAAAUUUUUACCCCUCACACAUCAGAUAGAGCACUAAUCUCUAGGGUAUAUAAAGAAUUCAGAAAGCUAAACACCAAAAAACAAACAAACAAACAAAAAAACAAAUAACCCAAUCAACAAAUGGGCCAAGGACCUGAACAGACACUUCUCAGAAGAGGAUAUACAAUCAAUCAACAAAUAUAUGAAAAAAAUGUUCAUCAUCAUUAGCAAUUAGAUAAAUGCAAAUCAAAACUACUCCAAGAUUUCAUCUCACUCCUGUCAGGAUGGCAACUAUUAUGAAGACAAACAACAAUAAGUUUUGGUGAAGAUAUGGGGGAAAAGGUGCACUCAUACAUUGCUGGUGGGACUGCAAAUUGGUGCAGCCAGUAUGGAAAGCAGUAUGGAGAUUCCUUGGAAAACUGGGAAUGGAACCACCAUCUGACCCAGCUAUCCUUCUCCUUGGUCUAUACUCAAAGGAGUUAAAAACAGCAUAUUACAGGGACACAUCCACAUCAAUGUUUAUAGGAGCACCAACCUAGAUGCCCUUCAGUAGAUGAAUGGGUAAAAAAAAUGGCAUAUAUAUAUAUAUAUAUAUAUAUAUAUAUAUAUAUAUAUAUACACACACACACACACACACACACACACACACACAAUGGAAUAUUACUCAGCAAUAAAAGAGAAUAAAAUCAUGGUAUUUACGGGUAAAUGGAUGGAGUUGGAGAAGAUAAUGCUAAGUGAAGUUAGCCAAUUUCAAAAAAACAAAUGCUGAAUGUUUUUUUCUGAUAUAAGGUGACUGACUCAUAGUGGAGUAGGGAGUGUGUGCAUGGGAGGAAUAGAGGAACUCUAGA